AAAAAAAAAAAAAAAAAAAGAAGAUAGAGUACACGACCGUACCGCAAACCGACACUGGUGCGCGAGAUGAGUAUUCUCAGGCGCUUGAGAGAACUCGGGAGAAGGAACUCGGCAAAUUGACACCGUAACUUCGGAAGAAGGUGUGCCUUUAGUAGGUGAAGUCCCUCGCGGAUGGAGCCCAAUGAGGUUGCAAAGAAUCGGUGGCUGCGACUGUUUAAUAAAAACACAGCACUCUGCAAACACGAAAGUGGACGUAUAGGGUGUGACGCCUGCCCGGUGCUGGAAGAUUAAGUGAUGGGGUGCAAGCUCUUGAUCGAAGUCCCAGUAAACGGCGGCCGUAACAAUAACGGUCCUAAGGUAGCGAAAUUCCUUGUCGGGUAAGUUCCGACCUGCACGAAUGGCGUAGCGAUGGCCACACUGUCUCCUCCCGAGACUCAGCGAAGUUGAAAUGUUUGUGAUGAUGCAAUCUCCCCGCGGAAAGACGGAAAGACCCCAUGAACCUUUACUGUAGCUUUGUAUUGGACUUUGAACGGAUCUGUGUAGGAUAGGUGGGAGGCUUUGAAGCCGGGUCGCUAGAUCUGGUGGAGCCAACGUUGAAAUACCACCCUGGUGCGUUUGAGGUUCUAACCUAGGCCCGUUAUCCGGGCCGGGGACAGUGCAUGGUAGGCAGUUUGACUGGGGCGGUCUCCUCCCAAAGCGUAACGGAGGAGUUCGAAGGUACGCUAGUUACGGUCGGACAUCGUGACGAUAGUGCAAUGGCAUAAGCGUGCUUAACUGCGAGACUGACAAGUCGAGCAGAUGCGAAAGCAGGACAUAGUGAUCCGGUGGUUCUGUAUGGAAGGGCCAUCGCUCAACGGAUAAAAGGUACUCUGGGGAUAACAGGCUGAUACCGCCCAAGAGUUCAUAUCGACGGCGGUGUUUGGCACCUCGAUGUCGGCUCAUCUCAUCCUGGGGCUGUAGCCGGUCCCAAGGGUAUGGCUGUUCGCCAUUUAAAGAGGUACGUGAGCUGGGUUUAAAACGUCGUGAGACAGUUUGGUCCCUAUCUUCCGUGGGCGCUGCAGAUUUGAGGAAGCCUGCUCCUAGUACGAGAGGACCGGAGUGGACGCACCUCUGGUGUACCUGUUGUCACGCCAGUGGCAUUGCAGGGUAGCUAAGUGCGGAAGAGAUAACCGCUGAAAGCAUCUAAGCGGGAAACUCGUUUCAAGAUGAGAUCUGCCGGGGCCUUGAGCCCCCUGAAGAGUCGUUCUAGACCAGGACGUUGAUAGGUCAGGUGUGGAAGCGCAGUAAUGCGUUAAGCUAACUGAUACUAAUUGCUCGUGCGGCUUGAU
rnacentral:rRNA from 1 species